AUAGCGUAUAUUAAAGUUGUUGCAGUUAAAAAGCUCGUAGUUGAACUUCAGGCCUGGCUGGGCGGUCUGCCUAACGGUAUGUACUGUCUAGCUGGGUCUUACCUCUUGGUGAACCGGCAUGCCCUUCACUGGGUGUGUCGAGGAACCAGGACUUUUACCUUGAGAAAAUCAGAGUGUUCAAAGCAGGCCUAUGCCCGAAUGCAUUAGCAGGGAAUAAUAAAAUAGGACGUGUGGUUCUAUUUUGUUGGUUUCUAGAGCUACCGUAAUGAUUAAUAGGGACAGUUGGGGGCAUUAGUAUUCAGUUGCUAGAGGUGAAAUUCUUGGAUUUACUGAAGACUAACUAUUG
rnacentral:rRNA from 1 species